UCUUUACUACCUUCUUUCAAUCACUUUCUUCAAAAAUGGCUAUAAAUAUUUUUAAAAAUGAAUUCAGAUCAUAAAGAAGAUAUGAAUCUUUUUUUAUCAAAGUUACAUAGCAAGAAAAAAUACUCCUAAAAAAAGUGCACCUAUGAAUCCAACUUGAAUAAAUCCAUCAAGGUAUUAAAAAGAUGCAAUCUUAGAUAGAAUUUAAUUUGUUAGAAAAAUCCUUGAAAUUUUGAUUUUGUUUCAUCAAACUUCUUGGGCAUACUUAUCUUUGUUUCUCUCAUACCUAAAG
rnacentral:lncRNA from 1 species